rnacentral:rRNA from 1 species
AUUGAACGCUGGCGGCAGGCUUAACACAUGCAAGUCGAGCGGGGUGAUGGUGCUUGCACUAUCACUUAGCGGCGGACGGGUGAGUAAUGCUUAGGAAUCUGCCUAUUAGUGGGGGACAACAUCUCGAAAGGGAUGCUAAUACCGCAUACGUCCUACGGGAGAAAGCAGGGGAUCACUUGUGACCUUGCGCUAAUAGAUGAGCCUAAGUCGGAUUAGCUAGUUGGUGGGGUAAAGGCCUACCAAGGCGACGAUCUGUAGCGGGUCUGAGAGGAUGAUCUGCCACACUGGGACUGAGACUCUGCCCAGACUCCUACGGGAGGCAUCAGUGGGGAAUAUUGGACGAUGGGGGGAACCCUGGUCCAGCCAUGCCGCGUGUGUGAAGAAGGCCUUAUGGUUGUAAAGCACUUUAAGCGAGGAGGAGGCUCUUUUGGUUAAUACCCAAGAUGAGUGGACGUUACUCGCAGAAUAAGCACCGGCUAACUCUGUGCCAGCAGCCGCGGUAA